rnacentral:lncRNA from 1 species
AAUAGUGAAUUCACUGAGUGUGGCUUUGUAUAACGACUUCCACGACCAUAACAUUUUUCUCCUUUGUCACAGAUAGGAGGAAAACUCUUUAGAGAGAGAUGGAGAAGGAAUUAAUUAUACCUCUGCCUCAUCCCGUGAGACCAGAAGACGUGGAGUAACUGUAAGCUGUGAUUCUCAGGAGACAUACUAAGCAUCUCUGGUUUCUUCUCUGCCUGCCCCCCUAAGGCCUUAGGGAUGAGAAAUCUUAGGCUUAAUGUUUUUCCCUAUGAAAUACUGUCGCGUUAAGGGGCGUAGCUGACUAACUGUUACGGGUCUGGUCGGAUUCGGGGUACUGAACAACCACGGUCACGGAUUCACCAAUAACGUAGCACAUCCUCACUCUAGUUGUGUUCAAUGAGAACUGUCACGGCUAGGAACAAUGCAACGAAGGGCAGUUUAUUACAGCAACAGGAACACAGGUUCUUUGGAAUUGCCGGCGAUAAAUUCACUGUCCGCAAAAGCAAGUGAGCACGCAUGAAAUACACAGGUACUCGUCCUGGCUGUUAACGCACUAAAAGGCACAAAGGCUCUAGAGAUUUCUAAGCUUCUACGGAGACGCCUGGUACAACCAAGCAUUCAUAUCUUACCCUACGACAUCCCAGUGUGGGGGGAAGAGAGGCUCAGCCUGUCGACUGAUCCUGGAAGUCAGAAAGAGACCAGUGAUAGGACCCGUGGGAAUGGUGUCAACCUGCGGCAGGAGAGGUUCAGGCUAGACAUCAGAAAGAGGUUCUUCACUGAGAGGGUUGUUGAGCACUGGAACAGUCUCCCCAGGGCGGUAGUCGCUUCACCAAGUAUGUUGGAGUUUAAGAAGCGUUUGGACUGUGCACUUAGUCAUAUGGUCUGAAUUUUUGGGUUGACCUGUGCCAUGCCGGGAGUUGGGCUCGAUGAUCCUUGUGUAUCCCUUCCAAUUCGGGAUAUUCUAUGACUCUGUGAUUAUUUUCUGUCCCUUUUAGGUGGAGCUUGAGUGACUCUAGUCAGGCAUA